rnacentral:rRNA from 1 species
AUGCAUUCCUCUUUGCAAGGUAAAUCUCCAUUUGAGACUCUGUAUGGGCAUUCUCCUUGUCAAUUUGGCAUAUCAGAUGCAGACGCUUGUUUAGUGCCAGAACUGUCCACUUGGCUCCAAGAUCGCGCACUCAUGCUCAGGCUGUUGCAGCAGCAUUUGGAACGUGUGCGCGUCCGUAUGAAGAAUCAAGCAGACAAGAAGAGAUAUGACAGGGUAUUUCAAGUGGGUGACUCUGUCUUUAUGAAACUACAGCCAUAUGUGCAGUCUUCUGUUGCUCCCCGUGCACAUCAUAUGCUUCUUUUCAAGUUCUAUGCCCCCUUCAAGAUACUGGAGCGCAUUGGUCCUUCUGCUUAUCGCCUGCAACUUCCUCCUCAUAGCAAAAUACAUCCAGUUUUGCAUGUGUCUCAAUUGAAGAAAGCAUUGGGGCCUCAUUGUCAGGUACAAUCUAAUAUUCCUCCUGUUGAUUCACAGCUUGCUAUCCCUGUCAAAGUGCUUCAGCGGCAUUUCCGUCAAGCUGGCGAGCGAGCAGUUCCUCAACGUCUUAUUCAGCGGUCUGAUCAGCCGGAGUCAUUAGCAACUUGGGAGGAUCUGGAGGCAUUGAAGCAGCGUUUUCCUCGAGCGGCCGCUUGGGGACAAGCGGCAUUUCAAGGGAAGGGGGAUGUUAAGGCUAAACCACGGGCUACUACAGGAGACAACCCAACCAACGAAGCCCAGGAGGUGGUUCGGCUCGACAAGCGACUGAGACAGCCAACCCAGCGAUACGCAUCAGACGAGUGGGUCAAGUGA